GCUGUAUCACUGUGUGAUUAAAUAUAUUUACAUAAAAUUAGAUAUUAUUAUAACAUUACUUUCGAAUUAAAUAACUUUCUGAAUGGGACAUUUAAUUUCAAUUAUUCACACAUUUACAUUUUAUAUGAAUUAUUCACACAUCAGUCAAAGUAGUAGAAAAAUUACGUUACCUAAAAAUAGUACAAAUGUUAUGGUCGUCGGUACAUCGCGUAUCUCAACUGUAUGCUAUUAAUACGAAUGUGUAUACAUAUCAUUUUUGUUCUAUACGGGAGGGUAAAUUCGCAAGAACCCUUUGACACGUGCGCGAGCGUGGGCGCACACGAACGCGACGCCACGUCGUGUGCCGGUAAUUCCUUCUCUCGGACCGGCUCUCGACGCGCCUUCAGUCGCGUUCCGCGCGUCGUACGAACGAGUGCGUCUUUGCUCGCAUCCUCUCUGUCGGAGAUCAUUCCAUUCAACCUUCUAUCUUUCGAAUUCAUUUGCCUAUCCGGAAGAUGUAUUCAACGGCAAUGUGACGUAAACAGAGCUUUCAGACUAAACGAGCAAACCUGCAUAACGAAUAAAAGAGUAAAACAAGCUGAGUGAUUGUCAGCAGAUCGUAUGUUAAACGUCACGUAAAACUCGAUUUUUACAGAACACUAUCGCGGCAUUUCGAUACAUCGAUAGGAUGGAUCGCUAUCGAAAGAGCGAUCCUGAUCGGAUUCAGUCGCUCGUUUCGUCUUCGGUGUCGUGAAACGUCUACGAUCGAAUAAAUUGACUGACAGUGUUUUCGCGAUGGUGUUCAAGGGGAGAUGAUUCUUUCUCAAGUAAUCCGCAUUUUUUUUCUAUGUUCGAAACGUAGUCGUGAUAAAUUUCUCACGACAAAUGGGAGUUCGAAUUCAAUUUAGGCGUGCCGAUUUCAUGGAUAUCACUACUUUAAAAUAGACUACACUCGGGGGAGCUGUGUAACCUGUUGCCGAAUACGAUAUCGAGACAUUUUCAAUGAUUUAUCCAACGACUCGGAAGUGAAAAUCGGACUCAUAAUUCUUCUAUGUGGAGGAUUUCUGGAGUGGAAAAAUAUCGUAAUGCUCUUGGCGAACAACGAAACGACUCGAGCAGCUCAAUUCUAAUGAACACAGUCGCGUGUAAACAAGUGUGAUGCAAAUUCUGUAUUUUCCAACAAAUCAUAAUUCUUCAUUCGUACAUUAAUAGUGAUGGGACCCAAGGAUAUUUCUCGUUGUUUCGAACAUAUUUCAAUCGAGUUGUUGGAUUAUUCUUGGUGCAUCGAGUGAAUCGCGAAAUAACAAAAACAGGACAUGGUAGAACUCUUUCUAUGCUCUUGUAAUCGCUUCGUCCUGGGAUAACUUGCGACAAGCGCAGAGAAAGCAAAACUAUUACGAAAACAGCGAUUUUUCGCGGAGUGAAAGAAUCGUGUCGUUAAUGGACAUGAAGUUAAUCGAAAUUAUGACUAUUUCAUGGCAAGCUCGCAAAGCGAAAACCUGAACAGUGGAUGUCAAUUGGUACGAACAUGUACGGAGACGCGAAUCAAGGGAAUAUAGGCGAUUAUAAUCAGACGGCCGGUCGAAGAUUGAGGAACAUCACCGACGGACUCUACGAAACAUUACUAGAAGACACCAAUGGCACGAAGUUAGACAUUAAUGGAACGGAGGAGAUUGAUUCGUUUUACUUCUACGAGAUUGCAAUGUAGUGUAUUACAACUCUGCUGUUGUGCUUCAUACUG